UAAGGUAAUGGUUUCCCUCGUUGUUGAUUUCCUUUAUUGAAUAUGUUUUAUAACUGAGACUUAGUUGUCUCCAUCAAUUAUGAACGCUCCAACUAUCACAAAAUUUCCCAAGCAAUUAUGAUAAUUUGCUAGACUCACCUUCUCAAGCUACGCUAGCUAGAUUCACAUUACAGUUCAUUUAGAUUGCACCCGAGGUAUCGUUAUCUCUAAUCCAACCUCUAAACUCUCGGAUAUGACUCUCGUCUAUACUCGGGAGUGAUAUUGUUCAUACAAUCACCUAAAUUUUGCACUCUCUCUAAAGCAGAUCCAUACUAAUAGGGGUGGAUAGUUGAGGGCCUUUUCAACUAACUACAAUCAAAACGUAGAUGAACAAAUAGAGAUUAACAACCAAUUCAAAACUAUAUUGAUAUAACAACCAAGUCAUCCCCAACGGGUUCACCAAAACCUUAGAUUGAAGUGUUUAGCUACUCAUAACAACGUAAGAUAAAACUACUGAAUUAUUCAUAAUGGAAGAAUUUCAAGAAAAAUAGAAGAGAUAAAGGACUAUGAUGUUUUGGGUGAUCUCUCACACUUGUUCUUCUUCCAAAAGUAAACUCAAAAUUAAGCCUCCCUUCAUCUUGGGUGAAUUUUUACAUCUUAUUAGGGUUUUACCGAAAGUUUCCCCGAAUUGACACUUUGGCCCCUUAAAUUUCUGGAUCAUGAACAGUUCAUCGCUGUCGUGGCAUGGAUCGUGGUCGACCACGGUGAACACUGCCUGGGCCUAUUUUUGUGUUUUGUAUCCGCGCUCUGCUAAGCUGUCCACCGCGGUCGUGAUGAACUUUUGUCCAGUCAUUUAUAUUACUCUUUUGUGUUCGAGUACUUCUUGAGCGGGUGUUUUCUUCACAUUAUUGCCUCCAAACACUUCAUGGUUCUUCUUUACAUAUAGUAUUCCCUGCGAAACCAAUUAGCACCAUUUAAAGCAUUUUAUUAGAAAAUUACCUUAUAUAACAAUAACUAAGCAUGGACAAUUAAGGUGUAAAUAUCAACUAUAUAGCCUGUUAUCAACACCCGACACUUAAAUUAUUGCUAGCCCUCGAGCAAUUCACUACACUCCAUCAUUCCUUCCUAUGCUUUUCCCUCGACGACUCACACCAUGAACAUUUCAUAAAAGUUACACCUAGUAGUGAGCAAACCUUUACCUCAAGAAUCAAAUUUUACGUACCCCGUAAUAUUUGCACUUACUCAAACCACUUUACACAAGAGUCAAGACGUACCUUUCCUUUGUGAAUCGCAUUCCCUCACAUCACACUAGAGAGUAGUUCCACAUAUAAUGAUAGUGAUAAUGAUUAGGAACUAAAAUAGACAGAAUUUGCUCACUCUCCAAAAAAAACAUUCACAUGCUACAAAGAUGCACCGUAAGCUUGCUCGUAGUGUAGUACUCGACUAAUCGAGCUCAUUCAAUCUUGGAUCAAUUAGGACUUUAUUUAGUUGUAAUGUAGGCUAAGGGACGGGUAGGAUACAUUUGGGUGUAAUGACUAGCCUCCCUAAGCACUUUUAAUACAAUUACAUUGAACUUCAAGCUCAUCAUUCUGUGCGGGUAGGAUACAUUUACAUAUAAGAGUGACUACACCUCCCUAAACACUUUAAUACUUACAUUUUAACAUUCAAACCCCACCUUAUGUCAAACCAAAUUCUACCUUUACAUCAAUGUGAAUUACCCCAUUCUUCUUUAAGACACUUACGUCAAGAGCCACCACUUAUCAAGGAAAUAUUAUUAUAUUUUUUUCCAAUUCAAGUGGCUCUCCUUUUUCCAAAACAGUGCACCUUUCUCCUUAUUCAAUUAGUUCCACUCAAAAGCCAAACCAACCACCCC
rnacentral:lncRNA from 1 species